AUACGUAGGUGACAAGCGUUGUCCGGAAUGAUUGGGCGUAAAGGGCGCGUAGGCGGCCCGGUAAGUCUGGAGUGAAAGUCCUGUUUUUAAGAUGGGAAUUGCUUUGGAUACUGUCGGGCUUGAGUGCAGGAGAGGUAAGUGGAAUUCCCAGUGUAGCGGUGAAAUGCGUAGAGAUUGGGAGGAACACCAGUGGCGAAGGCGACUUACUGGACUGUAACUGACGCUGAGGCGCGAAAGUGUGGGGAGCAAACAGGAUUAGAUACCCUGGUAGUCCACACUGUAAACGAUGAAUGCUAGGUGUAGGGGGUAUCGACCCCUUCUGUGCCGCAGUCAACACAAUAAGCAUUCCGCCUGGGGAGUACGGCCGCAAGGUUGAAACUCAAAGGAAUUGACGGGG
rnacentral:rRNA from 1 species